CUCCAUGUGGCCACCCGUUCCACUAACUUGGGGCUUCCAGCUGGGCCACAGCCUGGGAGCUGGACACGGCAGCCGUGUGUGGGUGGCCGGGCCCUGUUGCCACGCCAGCUGCCACUUGCGGCCUCCUGAGCAGAUGUGGCCCUCCCAGCACAAGAAGCCCUGGGCAGCUCCUGGUUCCGUGGGGCCCUGUGAGCCCCUGGGGGGCACCUCCUGAGCUUGUCCUCCCAGGGUGGCCCCGGGGACGCUGAGCCAGGCAGGGCCUGCUGUACAGGCAGGGGGGCUUCAACCCCCCACCUAGAACCCACGCAUGGCUUUGGUGCGUGUCACAGGCACGGACUCCCCUCGCUGGAAAACGUAAAUGACACGAAAGUGCAUGGAGGAAAAUGGGGGGCCUGUGCCCUCAGACCCCACCCAUGAGUGGGCUGCCGAUUCUUUUCCAGUAUUUUGAAUAUUUUGCCUAUAAAUGUCACACGUGUCUAGGGCACAAAAGUGGGCCACGAUACACAGAAAGUUCUUAGUUUAAUUUAACUCUGUUCCACGAGCAGCAUCCCGGUGAAUGUAGGUCCACACCCUGUUUUAAAAAGCAUUAGAGUAUUUCAUCGUGUGCACACCCCCGGGGGUGAAGUCACCACUGCUGUCUUGUUGGAGCCUGAGAUGUCAUCAGCGGGCUUCCCUCCUGGGGCGCCCUCGGUGUGGACCCUGGGCGCCACCUGGGCGCAACCUCGUGGGGAAGAUACCUGCAGCUGGAAGGACACCCGGAGCAGCUGUGAUGUUGUCAGCAAACCGUGUGUGUCCUGUCAUUGCACUCCUGGACGCAUCACCAUGUCUCCUAACAGAAGCUGUCUGUCCCAGCACGCUUUGUCACAGUUCAUUAACAAUUCCUCACUCAAAUGGAAUGCUAGCCCACGUGCAGAUCCUGUUCUAAACUGUAAUUUAAUAGUGGGUUCAUUUGAACCGAGGUCCAGACAGACUCUAUGUGUCAUGUAUGAACACCGCGUCCCCCGAGUCCCUCCAGAUCUGGUCACGGUCCCUCCCUCUCCCACAUCAUGGGUUUCCACCCCCCAGGUCGACUAGCAGAUGAAAUCGUGCGGGGGGAGGGGGUCUCUGUUCCAGCGCCCCGUGUUCUCAUUUUAGGCUCCCACACUCCUGCAGCUUGAAAUGAACUCUAACAGCCGCGUCGUCUCAGGUUGAUUUGUCUCUGUGACUACUUCACAGCCGAAGGUGGCGUCAGUCGUGUCGGGAGGCGGGUCCCGGCUGUCCACCUCACUUCCUAGGAUGCUGAGGCCGUUCGGUGGUUCAGGUGGUAACAGUCUGCCCCCAGGUAGGUUUCACGGAAACUUCCACCUGAGGGUUUUAACAUCCGCUGAAAUGAUCAGAACUGAUUUUUCAGUAGGGUUUUGAAACUUGUAGUUCUCUCAUUUCCUCUGAUACUAUUUGAGUUCUUCUCUUUAUUUUUUAAAGUGGGCUUUUAUACCCAGCGUGGAUCCCAGAGCAGGACUUGAAGUCAUGACCCUGAGAUCAAGACCUGAGCUAAGGUCAAGAGUCAGGUGCCUAACCGACCGAGCCACCCAGGGUUCCCAGAUUUGCACACUCUGGACGUUUCAUAUGAAGGUAAUCGUACGGGAUGUCUCUCUAAUUCCAUGGGUCCGUCUACACUGGCCUUGCAGAUCUCCCUCAUUCCCAGGAGUUGCUAUACCGAACUGGUAUGUUGCUGUAAUGCCCCAAAGGUUUCUUUCCUGAUUUGGGCUGCCUUACUAAUUCCCCACUUUGUCUAAACUAACCAGUGAUACCCCCUAAUUCCCUAGAGGUGUCUGCUCUGAACAGGUUGCGCUCCGUAAUACGCAGGCAUGUCUCCCCUCGCCUAGGCUGUCACCCCAUCCCCCCCGUGUGGAUCCACCUGUACUCGGGAUGGCUCCCUAAUUAGUCCCUGAUUAGUCCACCCUGCUGUGAUGUGUCUCUAAUCCCCCAGGUGUAUUGCUCCGAUAUGGGUUGUCUGAUCCCCAGGUGUGUCUGUGCUCACUGGGGAUGUUGGGGAUGUUUCAGUAACUCCCUGUAUGUGUACACUCUUCCAGAAUGUUUUCCUAGCUCUCUGGUCUGCCUAUCCUGACCUGCUAUGGCCGCCUAAUUCCCCAGUGUGUCUACUUUGACCUGAUGUCUUCCUAGUUCUCUAGGUGUGUGUCCCUGACCUUGGAAGCCCCCAUAAUAUUCCAAGUGUCUACACUGACCUGAGUUGUUUCCUUAAUCAGCAAACGUGUCUGCUGUGGCAUGGGUUUUCUCCCUAAUUCCCCAUUUUUACACACUGACCCGGGACAUGUUUCUAGCUGUCGAGAUGUGUCUCCACUGACCAGGGACGCGUUCCUAAUACCCCAGCUUUGUAUACUGUGUUCUGGGAUCUUUCUCAUAUUACUCAGUUCUGUCCCCCUUGAGUUGGGACAGCUCAUUAGGACCCCCGUUGUGGCUACUCUGUCCCUACUUCCAGUGGAUGUCUGACCUGACCUGGUGUGUAACAGACAUCAUCUAGGUGUGCCGUGACCCCUCACGGCUCUCUUACCUUUAUUAUGUGCACAUUGCUUUCUGAUUUCUUUCUCAUUACCUAGUUGUGCUAUCGUGACCCGGGACAUAUCCUCAUUUCCUCAGAUUUGUCUACCCUAACUGGAGAUAGCUCCGUAAUUCCUGAGUUGUGUCAACACUGGCCAGGAAUGUCUCCCUGAUUUCCCAGGUGUGUUUACUGUGACCAGGAUUUGUCUCAAAUUCCACAGGUGUUUCUACACUUCCCUAGAAGGCUUCCGUGGUUCCGCGCCGGUGCACACAUUGUACGUGACGUCCCUAGAACUACAGGUGUGUCCUCUCUGCCUCCCUGAUUCUGUAGGUGUGUCUACUCCAAUCUGGAACGUCUCUUACUCCAGCGUGUAUCUGCCUUAAAGCUGGAUGUCUCCCCAGUUCACGGUGUCCACACUGACCAGGGAUAUCUCCCUCAUUGCCCAGCUGUGUCAACUCUGAGGAUGUCUCCCUCAUUUCUUAGGUGGGUCCACAAUAGCCUGAGAUGUCUCCCUAAUUCCUCCUGUGUGUAAACAGGUCUUGGGAUGUUCUGUUAAAUCCCAAGGUAUGUGUCCUGACUUGGGAUGCCCAAUUCCACAGAUGUGUCAACAAGGACUCGGGAUAUCUCCUUAAUUCUCCUGUGUGUCUACUCUGACAAGGGUUAUUUACCUAAUUCUUCGGUUUUGUCUGCAGUGAACUAGAUGCCUUCCUAACUGCCUGUGUGUUUACACCGACCUGUGACACAUCUCGAGUUUCACAGGAUCGUAUACCCUGGCUUUGGAUGCCUCCGUGACUACUCAGGUAAGUCUACUCAGACCCGAGAGGCCAGUCUAAUAACACAGGUGUGUCUCCACUGAUCUGGGAUGUUGGUGUAAAUCCCAAAUUGUGUCUUCCGUGACCUGGGAUGUCUCCCUAGUUCCCAGGGUGUGAAUUCUAACCAGUGGUGUUUCCCUAAUUUCUCAUGUGUGUAUCCGUGACCCGGGAUGUCUCCAUAAUUCUCCUUAUGUAUCUACCAUGAUGGAAGAUGCCAAGCUGUUCCUUAACUUUGUCUUUGACCUCAGAUAGCUCCCUAAUUUUGCCCAGGUGUGCCUACCCAAACACGGAUGUCUACCUGAUUACCCGGACGUGUCAACUCUACCACGGAUAAUCGCAUGAUUCUCCACUUGUAGCUACACUGACCUAGGCUGUUUCUCUCUUUCCCCACGUGUGUCCAACACAGGUUGGUUGUCUGCUCAAUUCCCUGGGCCUGUCCACACUGAUGAAGGGUGUCUCUCUAAUUCCUCAGGUUUGAUCACUCUGAAUUGGCUCGUAUCCCUUCUUUCCCGUGUGUUUACCCUGCCCGGCGAUGUCUCCCAAAUUUGCACACGUGUCUACUGUGAUGUGGAAUGUCUCCCUAAUUCCCCAGGUUUGUGUUCACUGACCUGACCUGGGAUGUCUCCCUAAUUCCACAGAUGUGUCUACACUGACCUGCAAUACAUCUCUGGUUAUUCAGGAGUUUACCUUAUCGUAGGAUGUCUGCCUAAUUUCACAGGAAUUUCUAUACAGAAUGAGAAUGACUCCCUAGAACCCCAGGUGUGUCUGUUAUUACCUGGGAUGUUUCUCUUAAUUCCUCAGUUGUGCUUACACUGACUUGGGAGAUCGCCCAAAUCCCCCAGGGGUGUCUACACUGACCUGCAAUGUUUCCCUAAUCCCCCAGGUUAAUCUACUCUUAUCAAGGAUGUCUAAUUCCUUCAUUUCCACUUUGAUCUUGGACAUCUCCCUAAUUCCCUAGUAUUUCCUACCUGACCUGGGAUGUCUCCCUAAUUCCCUGUUUGUGUCUACUUUAAUGUUAGCUGUCACUCUAAAUUUCCGGGUAUUUCUAAUUACCUGGGUAUCUCCCUAAUUUCCCAGGUGUGUCUGGGAUAGCUUCUCAUUGUCCAAGGGGUGUUUGUAUUGACCUUUGAUAUCAUCUUAAUUCCCCAGGUGUGUCUACACUGAACUAGUAAGUCUAUAGUUCCCUCGGGUAUGUCUGGUUUACCCGAAAAGUCUCUCUAAAUCCUUUGGAAUAUCUAUACUGACCAGAAAUGUUUCCUUAAUUCCCAAGUUGUGACUACACUGACCUUGGAUGACUUCUAAAUUCUCCAAGAAUAUCUAUAUUUACCUAAGAUGUCCCUUGAUAUCUGCCUAAGAUCUCAGGUUGCCUACCCUGACCGGCUAUGUCUCCGUGAUGAACCCCAUGCGUCUGUUCUGACCUGGAAUCCAGUUCCCGGUUUGGUUUCCUCGGGCUUGGGAAUCUUCCUCGUUCCCCAGGUAUGUUGACUCUGACAUUGUAUGUCUCCCCCAAGUACUAGGUGCAUCUUCCCUGACCUGGCAUGACUUUCUAUUUCCCAGUUUUCUACACUGACACGAGAUGUCUCUCUUUUCCCUAAAAUGUGUUUCCUCUGACCCAAAACGUUGGAGCUGGCCACCAAGAGGAUGUGACCACCAGCUGAUGCAUGAGCUACUCCAGGCAACUGGAGACUCGUCACCCUCCCCACCCCCCGCUCAUUAGCAUGUACCUUCUGCUCGCCUUCUCUGCUUUGUUCUCAGAAGCUGCCCCAAGGACACAGCCUUCGAUGGACGGAUCAUGAUGUGGUGUUGAGACCAUCUAGAUGUAAUAUGUGACUGAACCCAGUUAAGGUCUCUAUUUAAACUUUCAGGGUUUGGCGAGUGGGUGAAGAGAUCUACCCAAGACAAGCCUUGAAUGUAAGUUCUCUUGCUUAUUAAACCCGCCACCUACCAACCUGGAAUGAUCUGCCUCUUUCUUUGUCUCUCUCUGCCCUCCAGGCAGGAAUGCUGGUCUCAGAUUUCACCUGGGAAGCUCCCAAGGUUGCCACCCGGACUCUCCAGGUGGGUCUAACUCUGACCUUGGAUGUCUCCCUAGUUCUCCAGGGAGUCUCCUGUGACGUACGAGAUCUCUUAAUUCUCCCUGGAGUGUGUCCACUGAUCUAGGUUGUGUCCAUAUCUCCCCAGCUGUGUCUACUGUAAUGUGGGGCAUCUACCUAGUUCCCCAGAUGCGUCUCCUCUGGUGUGGGUGUGGCUCACAUUCCCCUGAUCUAGUCUAAUUCCCUAAGAGUGUCUGCCUUGACUCGGGAUGUCUCCCUAAUUCCCCACGUGUGUCUAUACAGACCUGGGAUAUUGCUCUCAAUCCCCAGGUGUGUCAGUUAUGACUAAAGGUGUCUUAUUCCCAGAUGUGUCUAUGCUGCCCAUAGGUGUGUCUACUCUGACAUGGUGUCUCUUCAUAGAUCCACACGUGCUUUUAUCCUGAGUUGGGUGUUUCCGUAUUUCCCUAGGCAUGUUUACACUGACUUCAGAUGACUCUCUGCUUUCUCAGAUGUGUCUACCCUGAUCUCUAAUAUCCCACGUUUGUCCAUCCUGGCCUGGAACGUCUACUUUUCAAGAGCGUCUACCCUGACCUGGCUAUCCCGCUAGCUCCCCAGGUGUGUCUAUACUUGACUCGGUUGUCUACACCACUUUGGGACGUCUCCCUAAUCGUCCGGGUAUGUGUUCUCGAGAGCUAGCUCCUUAAUUCUAGCGGUGUGUCUACUCAAACCUCACGUGCCUCCCUAUCGCCUUGGAUUUUCUGAAAUAUCUCCCCGAUUUCAGGUGUGUCUAAACUGGUGGGGAAUAUAUCUAAUUCUCAGAGGUGUUGACUCUGUAAUAGUUCGCCUUUCUGAGUCUGCAGGGGUGUCUCUCCUGACCAGUGAGGCCUCUCUAGAGCCUCGUGUGUGUCUACACUGACUUGGGAUAAGUGUCUAACAGUGCCAGAGGAUCUGAAGUGGAACGGGUCAUCUCCUUAAGUCCCCCUGAGUGUCUACGCUGCCUGGGAUGUCUCCCUAAUACAGCAGGCAUGUCUACACUAGGACUACCCUCUAAUUCCCCAUGGGUGUCUACUCUGACCUUGAUGUCUCAGCAUAUCCCAAGUGUGCUUACAUGGUCUUUGGAGGUUUCGCUAAUACCCCAGGUGUGUCUGUCCUGACAUGGGUACUUCCUUACCUCCCACAAGGGUCAUUCUAACCUGGGAUGUGUCCCUGGUUAACCGAGGAUGUCUACACAAAACUGAGAUCUCCCCCUCCUUCUCGGGCUACGACACUGACAUGGGCUGUCGUCUUAUUUCCAUGGUUCUGUAUGCGCUGACAUGGCAUGUAUCCCUGACACAAGUGUGUCUGUGCUGACCCGGGAUAGCUUCCUAAUGGCACACGUGUCCGUCUCAAACCCGGGAUAACUCCAUACACAUCAGAUGUGUUUACUCUGACCUGGCAUAUCCUCCUCAUUCCUUACUUGUGUCUACACUACCUGGGCUAUCUCCCCAGGUGUGUCAACACUGUCAUUAGGUGUCUCAUAGCCCUGUCUGCGUAGCAUGGUUUGGGAUUCUCCUAAUUCCCCAGGUGUGUCUACUCUGAACCGGACUAUUUCACAAAUUCUGCUUGUGAGACUACACUUAGAAUUCAUAUUAAUUUCCCAGAUGCAUCUUCCGUGUCCUGGGGCAUAUUGCUAAUUCCAGAAUGGGUCUUCCCUGAUCUUAUUUAUCUGCUUAAUCCUCCGGGUCUGUGCACACAGACCUGGGAGGUCUCUAUGAAUUCCCAGGAGUGUCUACAGUGACCUUGGAGGUGUCCUUAGCUUCCCAGCUCCGUGCCUCGGACCUGUGUGGUCUUCCUGGGUCCCGGUUGUGUCUGCAGAGCUUAGCGUCUUCCUUUCCCCAGGUCAGGCCACACCGUCCUGGGAGGCCUCCCUACUUUCCCAGCGUUGUCAACACUGACCUGGAACGUGUCUAAGACCACAGAUGUGACUACUGUGACCUAGGAUGUCACCGGCGCUUCUGCUCUAACCUGUGAUGUCUCCCUGUUCCCCAGUUCUGUUGAUCUUGACAUUGGCGGUCUCCUUAAUUACACUAGUGCAUCUACUCUGACCUACUGAUGGCUCCCUGACUCCAUGGUAUGUCACACUAAGAAAUGAGGUCUCUUCUUACCUGGCAGGUCUGCGUGCUUUCCCGUAUGUCUCUACUCAGACCUUGGAUGUCUUUUGAAAUCUCCAGGUAGGUCCGCGCUGACCCGGGGUAUGACCCUCAUCCCUCACGAGAGUCUUCACUGACCUUGGAUUUCUUCCUGUCUCCUCUGGUGUGUCUUCUCUGUCCAGAUAGGUCUCCUUAAAUCCACUGGUGUGUCUGUUGUGACCUGGGUUGUCUCCUUAAUUUCCAAAGUAGAUCUCCGCUGACCUUGAAAUAGUUUCCCCACGUUGGUCUAAACUGACCUGGGAGGUCUCUAAUUCUUAGUGCGGGUCUUUUGUGACUUGGCAUAUCUAGCUGUUCCCAAGGAGUGUAUAUCCUGACCCGGAGCGUAGCCAGAAGUCCGUAGGUGUGCCUCCACUGACCUGGGCUGUCUUUAUCCUUUCCUGUGUCUUCUCCGACCGUUAUCUCACCAGCACUCUUACAGGGCAUAUGCCCUGGGUGGUCUUUUUCUCCAUGUUUGUCCUAACCUGGGAUAUAUCUCUGAUACCCCAGGGGUAUCUCCCCUAGCCCAGGAUGACUCCCUAACCCCCAGGUGUUUCUGCCCUCGCCUGGGUGUAUCCGUGAUCACUUGUGUCUGUAUCCUUAACGGGAUUACCUUCUAAUUCUUCGCGUGUGCUUGCUUUCACCUAGGACGGCGCCUCACUUGCACAGGUGUGUCCACUCUGACGGAGGCUCUAACUCCUGGUUUGCGCCCAGUUGCCCAGAUGUGUCUCUGCUGCCUUGCGAAGUCUCGUUAAUUUCCAAUUGCGUUCUUCUGCGUGGCAUGUCUCCCUUCUCCCUAAUUCUCCAUGGGUCUCCUCUGACCUAGAAGUCUGAAUUUUUCCCUGUUUUGAAUCUGGCUAGAACAUGCCCCUCGUUCCCCAAGAGAGUCUGCGCUAAUCAGUGAGGUCUCCCUAAUUGAGGGAAGUUUAUGUCUAAAGUUCCCUCAAAUAUCUACGGAUGUCACUGCCUCGGUACGGCAGUUCCCCAAGUGUGUCUACACCGGUAUGUGUCUGAUUCCUGAAGAGGAUGUCCGCGUGAUGCCCAGCCGUGUCUGCCCCGGACUGGGGUUCUCCUCAGUUCCCCAGCAGGGCCUCUCUCAGUGCUCAGCUGCCUCUCUUGCGGGGAGGCCUCCUGAUUGUCCAGAUGGGUCUGCCCACACCUGCGCCGAGGCCCUUAUUUUCCAAGACCGACUUGCCUGAGUUGCUGUCCUCUCGGCAGUGCCCCGGUUGUGUAAACACUGACCUGGGAUGGACACCGACGUCACCAAUGAAUCUAAGCUGACCUGAGGUGCGUCCCCACCUCACCAGGUGUGACUGUUCUACUAGGACUUUACUGCCUCUCCAGGAGCGUCUUCUCUGAACGGUGAUGCCUACUUCCUUACUUGGGAGGUCUUUUCUCUUGUGUGGGAUGUCUAUUUCCCAGGUAGGUCGUCUUUGAACUCGGCGGCCUCCUUACUAACCCAGGUGUGUCUAUACUAAUUUUCCAGCUGGGUCUCCACUAGCCUUAGAUGACCUCCAGUUCCCUAGUCAUGUCUACACCGAUUUUGGAAGUAUACCGAUUUCUUCGGAGGUCUACGAUUACCUGGUACACUGCCUGAUUUCCCAGUGGCAUUAACUUUGAGCUGGCAUAUUUCCGUAAUUCCUCAGGUGCAUCUACACUGACGUGUCAUUUCCCAGGGGCGUCUUCUCUGACUCGGAGGUAUCUCUGUUUCUGUGUGUUUGCCUUCUCUUAUCUUGGAUGUCUUAUCACCAGGUGUCUCUACCGUAAUCUGGGAUGUCCCCUAAUUCCAGCAUCCACCCUGAUCUGGAUGUAUCCCAAAUUCCUCAGGUGGAUCUAGACUUAACUGGGCUCCUCCCUAAUCCCCCAGGUUUGUCUACGUGAACUUAUGUCUCCCAAGUUCCCCAGGCAGGUCUACACCAACUUGGAAUGUCUCCCUAAUCCACAAGGUUUGUCACUUCUUGCCUGGGAUGUCUGCCUAGGUCUCCAGGGUGUCCCCCUACUGUAGGAUGCCUUCUCACCCCCCUGCUUCAUCUGGUGUAUCUGCACCCACGUGGGAUGUCGAGUUCUGUAGGUGAGUCUACUAGAAAACUAAAAUCCAGAGCGCUUUACUUGAGCUGAGUAUUUUACUGAGAAACCAGCAUUUUGGAAAUGGGGACACAUUCAAACGGCAAGUGGCUACGAAGCGGCUCUCAGCUGUCACAGGCCUGUCUGUAAAGCAGGAAUGUGCAAGUCCAACACUUUCCAUUGUGACUGGAGUUGGUGACUGACAUGGCUUUUCAGUGCAUCAGCUUACUUGAAUAUAGCUGAUUAGCUGAGAAUCUGUAAAGUCAUGCUGACUCGAAGAAAGCUCAAGUGUUGUUUAAAAUUGGAGUUAUUAGCAUUUUUGGAAUCAGGACAGUUUGAAAAUCUGGUUAGGUGACUAUGAGUCUGGUAUGGGGGCAUACCCAACCUGUGGUCUCCACUUGUUUUAUUUUUAUUU